AAAACUUUCAACAACGGAUCUCUUGGUUCUGGCAUCGAUGAAGAACGCAGCGAAAUGCGAUAAGUAAUGUGAAUUGCAGAAUUCAGUGAAUCAUCGAAUCUUUGAACGCACAUUGCGCCCCUCGGUAUUCCGGGGGGCAUGCCUGUUCGAGCGUCAUUACAACACUCAA
rnacentral:rRNA from 1 species